AAGGUCCUAGGCCUCUCUCUCUCUCUCUCUCUCUCUCUCUCUCUCUCUCUCUCUCUCUCUCUCUCUCUCUGACCAAGACCAAGAAAACACAACAAACUUUUCUCUCUCUGGCUAUAAGGACAACAUAUUCAUCUGAACUGUGGGAUCGGCACACCGAUAGAAGCUGAAACUAUUACACUGUCAUAUCAAACAAGAAGCUGCGCGUGAGCAAGAGCAACUCAGAGUAGAAACGGUCAACAGAGUGCCUGCCCUGUUCUCUCCAACAGCUCUCCAAGGCUUCCAAGUUAUUUUGGUGUCUCCUGGGAUCUCGCUUGCUGUAGAUCUCUCAAACCUGGUGCUAGAAGCAGAAGGAUUUGAGGCUGCGGGCACGGAUAUAUCACAUAGGAGCUCCUCACAGCAUGGGAGAGACUAGUAGUUCUAGUCAUUCGAGGCAGGAUCCUUGUGCUCUUGGCUAUGGCUUCCAUGGUGCCAUCGCCAACUCUACUCCAAAUUUCUUUGACCAAGAAGGAGGUACCUAUUUUGGAGAGCUGGAAGAGGCUUUCAUGCGUCAGGUUGCCUCUCUCAGAAGAACUCAAGCUGCAACCACCUCCACAGCUCAUCAUGGAGACGCCACGCCCUUUUCCACUGCUACAGCUGCAACGGCUACAGCUAGGCCACCUCCUACACUGGACAUUUUCCCAGCUUGGCCUAUGAGGUCUCUUCACACACCCAAGAAGGGCUCAAUUUUGGCGGCAGACAGCACAGAAGACUCGGAGAGCAGCAGCAAGAACAACAGCAACCACUCCUCAGACCAGCAAGGAGCAACAGAAAACAUGGCAAGCCAGUUCGAUCAAGGUUCACAGCAACAAGAGGAGAUUCAGCACAAGAACAUGGCUACAAGUUCCACUACAAAGUCUGGCAAGACUCUUGAUCCAAAGACAAUCAGAAGGCUGGCUCAGAAUCGCGAAGCUGCACGCAAAAGCCGGCUACGAAAAAAGGCUUAUAUUCAGCAGCUUGAAAGUAGCAAGCUGAGGCUUGCUCAGAUGGAACAGGACAUGCAGCGAGCCCGUUCCCAGGGCCUCUUUCUUGGUGGAACUCCAGGUGCAAACACCAGCUCAGGCGCCGCAAUGUUCGACGUGGAGUAUGCCCGGUGGCUGGACGACCAUGGCCGGAGCAUGGGCGAGCUGCACUGAGCUCUGCACGCUCACUUGCCGGAUAGUGACCUUAGAGCCAUCGUGGACGACACCCUGACUCACCACGACGAGCUGUUCCAGCUCAAGGCCAUGGCAGCCAAGUCCGACGUGUUCCACCUCAUCACCGGGGUGUGGACGACCCCUGCCGAGCGAUGCUUCCUCUGGAUGGGUGGAUUCAGGCCCUCCGAUCUGCUCAAGACACUGCUGCCCCAGCUAGAUCCCCUGACAGAACAGCAACUGGUAGGCAUCUGCAACCUUCAGCAGUCAUCACAGCAGGCAGAGGAGGCUCUCUCCCAGGGCCUGGAGCAGCUGCAUCAGUCACUAGCUGAUACCAUGGCCGGUGGAUCUCUGAUUGAAGAUGCCAACAUGAGCUUCAUGGGUCAAAUGGCCCUUGCCCUUGGCAAGCUGUCCAACCUUGAAGGUUUCGUGAUACAGGCUGAUAACUUGAGGCAACAGACUCUUCAUCAGAUGCACAGGAUUCUCACAGUUCGACAGGCAGCUCGAUGUUUCUUGGCCAUUGGAGAGUACCACAACCGCCUUCGUGCCUUAAGCUCCCUCUGGGCUUCUCGGCCUCGAGAGAUGCUAGCGACAGAUGAAGGCAAUUGUGAAGAGAUAAGCAUUGCGGCACAACCAUCCCAAAGUCAAUUUUCAGCCUUCUGAAUCACAAAUGUUGUGGAACUAACCUUCAGCUUAGGAGCAAGAGAAAAACAACUUGGAAGAGAAGUUUUGGAUGCAAGCAAUAUUGAGAGCCACAGAAGAGAGCUGGGAAUGAAGGAAGCUUCCGAGAAAAAGGAGUAUUUCUGGAAUAUUUUUGGGGAAACAGAAGUUGUUUCUUAAAAAUGUGUGGAAGUUGUACAAACAAUUUCCAGGAGGUGAAACUGUGGAGUGUAGAAGGGGAGGCAAAAAAGAACAGCUAGAAUCUGUUAUCCAGUAUUGUGCAUUCUUUGGGUUCUGUCCAGUCUAAAUUCUCAAACAAGCUCUUCCUAUUUAAUGAAAAAAAUUAUUCAGCAAUUCUGUCGAUGAUUA